rnacentral:rRNA from 1 species
AUACGUAGGUGGCAAGCGUUGUCCGGAAUUACUGGGUGUAAAGGGCGUGUAGGCGGGGAUGCAAGUCAGAUGUGAAACCCCACAGCUUAACUGUGGGCUUGCAUCUGAAACUGUAUUUCUUGAGUGUUGGAGAGGGAAGUGGAAUUCCUAGUGUAGCGGUGAAAUGCGUAGAGAUUAGGAGGAACACCAGUGGCGAAGGCGACUUCCUGGCCAACAACUGACGCUGAGGCGCGAAAGCGUGGGGAGCAAACAGGAUUAGAUACCCUGGUAGUCCACGCCGUAAACGAUGGAUACUAGGUGUAGGUGGUAACAACCAUCUGUGCCGGAGUAAACACAAUAAGUAUCCCACCUGGGGAGUACGGCCGCAAGGUUGAA